GACGAACGCUGGCGGCGUGCUUAACACAUGCAAGUCGAACGGAAAGGCCCUGCUUUUGUGGGGUGCUCGAGUGGCGAACGGGUGAGUAACACGUGAGUAACCUGCCCUUGACUUUGGGAUAACUUCAGGAAACUGGGGCUAAUACCGGAUAGGAGCUCCUGCUGCAUGGUGGGGGUUGGAAAGUUUCGGUGGUUGGGGAUGGACUCGCGGCUUAUCAGCUUGUUGGUGGGGUAGUGGCUUACCAAGGCUUUGACGGGUAGCCGGCCUGAGAGGGUUACCGGCGACAUUGGGACUGAGAUACGGCGCAGACUCGUACGGGAGGCAGCAGUGGGGAAUAUUGCACAAUGGGCGGAAGCCUGAUGCAGCAACGCCGCGUGCGGGAUGACGGCCUUCGGGUUGUAAACAGCUUUCGACUGUGACGAAGCGUGAGUGACGGUAAUGGGUAAAGAAGCACCGGCUAACUACGUG
rnacentral:rRNA from 1 species